UACAGAGGUCCCAAGCGUUGUUCGGAUUUAUUGGGCGUAAAGAGCUCGUAGGCGGCUCGUCGCGUCGACCGUGAAAACCCGCGGCUUAACUGCGGGCUUGCGGUUGAUACGGGCGGGCUAGAGUUCGGUAGGGGAGACUGGAAUUCCUGGUGUAGCGGUGAAAUGCGCAGAUAUCAGGAGGAACACCGGUGGCGAAGGCGGGUCUCUGGGCCGAUACUGACGCUGAGGAGCGAAAGCGUGGGGAGCGAACAGG
rnacentral:rRNA from 1 species